AACCUGCCUGUAUCUGGGGGAUAACAGUUAGAAAUGACUGCUAAUACCGCAUAAGCGCACACUGUCGCAUGACAGAGUGUGAAAAACUCCGGUGGAUACAGAUGGACCCGCGUUGGAUUAGCCGGUUGGUGGGGUAACGGCCUACCAAAGCAACGAUCCAUAGCCGGCCUGAGAGGGCGACCGGCCACAUUGGGACUGAGACACGGCCCAAACUCCUACGGGAGGCAGCAGUGGGGAAUAUUGCACAAUGGGGGAAACCCUGAUGCAGCGACGCCGCGUGAGCGAAGAAGUAUUUCGGUAUGUAAAGCUCUAUCAGUAGGGAAGAUAAUGACGGUACCU
rnacentral:rRNA from 1 species